UACAGAGGGUGCAAGCGUUAAUCGGAAUUACUGGGCGUAAAGCGCGCGUAGGUGGUUAGUUAAGUUGGAUGUGAAAUCCCCGGGCUCAACCUGGGAACUGCAUUCAAAACUGACUGACUAGAGUAUGGUAGAGGGUGGUGGAAUUUCCUGUGUAGCGGUGAAAUGCGUAGAUAUAGGAAGGAACACCAGUGGCGAAGGCGACCACCUGGACUGAUACUGACACUGAGGUGCGAAAGCGUGGGGAGCAAACAGGGAUUAGAUACCCUGGCAGUCCACGCCGUAAACGAUGUCAACUAGCCGUUGGGAGCCUUGAGCUCUUAGUGGCGCAGCUAACGCAUUAAGUUGACCGCCUGGGGAGUACGGCCGCAAGGUUAAAACUCA
rnacentral:rRNA from 1 species